rnacentral:rRNA from 1 species
GAGUUUGAUCCUGGCUCAGGAUGAACGCUAGCGGCAGGCCUAACACAUGCAAGUCGAACGGUAACAGGAAUUAGCUUGCUAAUUUGCUGACGAGUGGCGCACGGGUGCGUAACGCGUAUACAAUCUACCUUUUACAGUGGGAUAGCCUUUAGAAAUGAAGAUUAAUACCGCAUAGUAUGUUUGAGUGGCAUCAUUUAGACAUUAAAGAUUUAUCGGUAAAAGAUGAGUAUGCGUUCUAUUAGCUAGAUGGUAAGGUAACGGCUUACCAUGGCAACGAUAGAUAGGGGCCCUGAGAGGGGGAUCCCCCACACUGGUACUGAGACACGGACCAGACUCCUACGGGAGGCAGCAGUGAGGAAUAUUGGACAAUGGGCGCAAGCCUGAUCCAGCCAUGCCGCGUGCAGGAAGACGGCCCUAUGGGUUGUAAACUGCUUUUAUACAGGAAGAAACACUGCUACGUGUAGCAGCUUGACGGUACUGUAAGAAUAAGGACCGGCUAACUCCGUGCCAGCAGCCGCGGUAAUACGGAGGGUCCGAGCG